rnacentral:rRNA from 1 species
UACAGAGGUCUCAAGCGUUGUUCGGAUUCAUUGGGCGUAAAGGGUGCGUAGGCGGCGCGGUAAGUCGGGUGUGAAAUCUCGGAGCUUAACUCCGAAACUGCAUUCGAUACUGCCGUGCUUGAGGACUGGAGAGGAGACUGGAAUUUACGGUGUAGCGGUGAAAUGGCGUAGAUAUCGUAAGGAAGACCAGUGGCGAAGGCGGGUCUCGUG